rnacentral:tRNA from 1 species
GGUUGUAUAGUGUAGUGGUUAGCACGCGAGAUUUUGAUUACAUCAUCAAAUCUUCUCGAGUCCGUAAGUUUACACCAGUAACCAUUAAUCAUCAUCUGAACCUCAUUCUAACAUGUCCCAGUGGGUUCGAGCCCCAGUACGACCU